AUUCAGGAGGACCUUCAGAAGCUUAAAAUGGAAAAAACCAACUUGAAAGGAAAUGCAGAAGCUGUGGAUAUUUGUGACCUCAGAAAAGCAACUGAAAGGACUGAACUUGGGCUGAGAGUAAGUAAAAUAGAGCAGGUCUAGAAAAUUAUUCUGUUUUUUAAAUCUGUGUUAAUAAUUCACUCAGGCCACUUAUUUCUUGUGUUACAAGAUCCCUUUCCAAUCAGCAACUGAUGAGAUUACUCAGACAUUACAGUUCAGAAUGAUGUCUCCCUUUUUUGGGUCAUCAGAGUUAACUGAUCUUGAUCAGCCAAAAUCAGAUUUUUUGUCCGACAGAGGCACAAAGUUUAUCAACUUUUCAGUCAAGCAAAGACCUGGUUGCUUAAUGAACCAAGUUAAAUAAAAUUAAUAUCCCUUAUAUCUUUGUAAUAGGCUAAAUAUUUUUUUUUCCUUUAACAGACACAAGCUGAAAAUUAUUUCAGUGUUAUAGAUGGCCAAGAGUUAACUCUUUCUUCAGCUGGUAACAAAGAAGUAAAUUCCAAAGAGCCCCCUAAGUGGUAAGUGAAACAGAUGUUUUAUUGCAGCAAGACACAAAAACUGAGGUGACAUAAUCAUGUAAAGCAAAUGGGAGUACUGACCUAGAAAAAGUUAGUUUAGUCAUUUCCUAUUUUGAUUUUAAGUUAAAAAAAUAUACAAGUGUAAAUGCAAUUCCAAGCGGCUUCAGCAGUGCUCUGCUGACUUGUGUGAUUUUACUUCUGCUAAAUGCAAGUUUAAAUAAAAUACAGUCAUUUGGCUGAAAGCAGAGUGGGUGUUUAGCAGGUGAAAUCCAAGUAAUUGUUAGGAAGCUCACUGCCUGUUUCUCUGUCCCCAGGAUUCCUACUUUUGGAGCCUGUCAGCAGCAGCUGGUUCUGCCCCGGGUGGAGCCCCUGGCUGUGCAGAGGAGCAGCAAAUCAGCCCCACGGCUGUGCCAGGGCCCCCAGCAGGUGGAAAUGGAUUUUAAAGUUAUGCUUGACCCAGAGAACGUGGAUAAUAAAGCUGGUUUAAAACAUCCCAACGAUGAGACCAGGCUGCCACUUAUAGCUAAGAAAAAAUCUGCUCCUGUGUGCAGUCAGAAGACAGGGAAGGAUCCCACAGCCAGCAGCCCUUGGGCUUUGCCUGCCUUCCUCUCCCUGGGCUCUCCCUUAGCCCUGCUAGAAGAGGACACCCCAAAAGGUGCCCUGAGCCUCAGUGGCCAGAGGCUCAUCCUCCCAGCAGCACAGAGAGCUCUGCCAGCCCCUCCUGCUGUGCCCAGAGCAGCUCCUUUCCCUCAGUUCCCCAGGCAGCACAAGAAAUCAGCUCUAGGAGAGAUCAGCAGCAGGCUGGACCCUGAGAAGACAGACACCAUCACCCUCCCAAAGCCAAAGGAAGCCAUUUAUGGCACAUAUUCCUCUAGUAAAGGGAGCAUUCCAUCACUCCCAUCCAGCAACUCCGUGGUUUCAACAAGGAAAUCAAGGCCAGAGUGGAGGUGUCCAGCUCAGCAGUUGGAAUCUGAGGCGCACAUUCCCCCUCAGACACAGGUAAUUGAUGGAAUGGAUCACUCAGGAUAAUGAGGUUUUUAUUUGUGUUUUUUUACUCUCUUCAUCAGAGCUGGUUUAGGGAGGGACUGUAAAUCACAGGAGGGUUUGAACCACAUCCAGUGAAUAGUAAAUACUGAAAUAAAAUAACAAAUACUUUGUGUAUUCCAAAUUUCUGCUCUUUCAAGUCUUCUACCUAAAUUUGUCUGGUUUUUUUUUUCCACAG
rnacentral:lncRNA from 14 species